rnacentral:rRNA from 1 species
AGAGUUUGAUCCUGGCUCAGGAUGAACGCUAGCGGCAGGCUUAAUACAUGCAAGUCGAACGGCAGCAUUACUUUCGGGUAGAUGGCGAGUGGCGCACGGGUGAGUAACGCGUACAGAAUCUACCUUUAACUGGGGGAAAGUCGCUGGAAACGGCGAAUAAUCCCGCAUAAGACCACAACGUCGCAUGGCGAUGAGGUUAAAGCUACGGCGGUUAAAGAUGAUUGUGCGUUCCAUUAGCUAGAUGGUGAGGUAACGGCUCACCAUGGCGACGAUGGGUAGGGGGCGUGAGAGCGUGAACCCCCACACGGGUACUGAGACACGGACCCGACUCCUACGGGAGGCAGCAGUAAGGAAUAUUGGACAAUGGAGGGAACUCUGAUCCAGCCAUGCCGCGUGUGUGAUGAAGGCCCUCUGGGUUGUAAAGCACUUUUAUCUAGGAAGAAUGGCAGUCAUUAAUGAUUGUAGAGACGGUACUAGAGGAAUAAGCACCGGCUAACUCCGUGCCAGCAGC